AGUCACUUGUUGAGGACUCCGUCUCAGGGGUAAAGAACUGAAGCUGUUGGCUGGAAAUUUAAAAAAAAAGAAGAAAAAGUUUAAGGAGGCUCAGGAUGUACCCCUGGGUCAGUGGGAAGGUGGAUGGUGUAGUUGUUGGUAGAGGAAAGGGAAGAUAUCUUUUUGCCAACAGCAGAACACAAGAUGGUGAGUGGAGGAAACUGUGAGGGGCAGUCCCUGGUGGCUUCAGACUCCCCAUCUAGCCUUCACCUGUUGCAUCAGCCUCCAGACAUCUAGCCUUCACCUGUCGCAUACAGCCUUCAUCUAUCAGCUCUGGCUGCAGGUGCCACAAGCACAGUUUUGGAGAAGACAGCCAUAGUUCUUGCCCUUAGGCGCUCCUGACAGGCAGGAAGCAGAGGUACCGGAGGAUCAAACAAGGACAUCUGUACCUUGCUCAGUGCAGCACGUGAAUUCACUGAUGUUUCAAUCAAAGGAUGGCUUAGCGAUGAAGCUUACAUAAAAAUGACAAGUAAUCCUGGUGCCCCUCCCCUGUACCUUGCCACAUACAAAGUACCAAGCCCUCUGGUGGAGCUGCUAUGUUCGGCUUGGGCAGCAGGGCUGCAGGAGCAGGAAGAAAGACAUCUGUGGUCACAGCAUUUGCUGGUCCGGAGCCAGCCCACGAGGUGCAUCCCCUGGGCGGAGCUUCCCUUGCUGUCUGGGACAGGACUCCUGUUGAACACACAUCAGGCUGUGCCCUCUUUUAUCUAAGGGUGCUAUGAAGGAAAUGAAUGUGAACUUCGGUUUAACACCCUUGCAACCGGCUCAGAGGCUAAAUUCCAUUUCCUUACCUUCACUAGCCUGCACAAUAUGAAAUUUGCUUGUAAAAUAAAGACAAACAUAGGCUGGCCAGAGAUGGCAUAAAUAAUCAAUCCUUCAUAUAUUUAUACAGAAGAGAGGUGAAGCUCAUGGAUGAUUGCUUCAUACUUCAUUUCUUUGAUUUUCUAAGAAAUUCUGAUAGAGGUAGUGGGAUUGUUUGACAUCAUGUGGAAAUGUCCCUCAUAUAUAACUUCAAAAAUAAUGAAAGCCAAAUCAGGUCCGGUGAUUGUUCAGGGAAACAAAAAUAAUCAGAAGAAAGAACUUCAGAAUUUACUAAUAAUUGGCACUUCAGCAAUUUCCCAAACUGUAUGACAUAUUUAUAUACACACACACAUAUAUAUGUAUACAUACAUACAUAUAUAGCAUCCCAGUUUCACGAUGGAAAGUCUUGCAAGAGGAAAUGGAAGUAUUCUGUAAGGUGAAAUUUUGGUGAGGUUUCCAGCUCAGUAUAGAAUACCCAGAUUCCAAAUUAAGUUGGGUCAUAUUCAAAUCUUAGCAAUGCAUGUGAAAUGCCAAGUUCUGCGGAGAAUAAUGUGUUUGUUGAAUACACAUCUUCACAACAAUAUGGUAUUCCAUUUAUUAAUUCCGUUUGCCACAGAUGGCUUUAUUAUGCGUACUUAUUUUAGUGCUUAAGCAAACAUAUAUGAAGUGUGUGUUACACAUAUUCAAGGCAACCUCAAAUAAAAAAGCAAAGAAUGUGUAAUGCCAUGGGAGAGCCUGUUGAGAGUACAUCCAGCCUAAAGCAGUUUGGGGGGAGUUUCCUGAAGGCCUUCAGUGUGUGCGCCUCCUUGUUUGCGAUGAGGUGGAGAGUUUGCAAGUGAGAUACUAAUCAAUGAGGCCGUAAUUUGCAACAGCAAUUACAGUGAUCCUAUUUUUCGCACAAUAAUUGCCACAUGUUGACUGUGCAGAUGUCCAAACACAUGUGAGCACUCCUCUUUCCAUAAGACAAAUGAAGAUUUUCACUUUGUUUGGUAAACGUGUCAAGAUUUAUCACUUAGUCAUGUGCCAUACAUUAGGGUGUUUAUAAAAUAUGGCUUUCUGCACUCUGGUUAUGUAGUUUUAUGAUUUCAACAACAUGGCAGUGAUGAAAUCAAUGUUUGCUGGGUUCAGAUUUGUCUCCUAUCUCAGAAUGAUCUGUGGGCAGAGGUUCAGUGGUUAAGAACAAGAAGUCCCUGUCUACAGACAGGGCAGCGGAUGAUCCUUCCGGAGCUCCUCUCCAGUGUGUCCAGGAAAUUGGUGACCAUGUAGAAUAACCUUGUCCAAUACAAGUUUGGAGCUGGAGCUCACAGAUUGACUGUGGUAACUACUAUAAAAUGCAAUAGAAUUGAAUGUAAUAUUUCACUCUUAUGAGAUGCAUAGUAGGAAAGUAAGGGGUGGAAACAAUUGGAUUAUAAGCUCAGAAAAUAGCAUGUUAAAUCAGAGGACAAAACAAAGCAUUUCAGAAAGAUCUAAGUCCUGCGUCUGGUCCAGUGCUGAUUCAAUACUUGUCUAUUACAACCAAACUCAUACUGCUUGAGAUGCCAUCUCUCUGAGCCAUGAACUAAGCUAAUCUGAGUUGUAAUGGCUUCUCCAAAACAUGUACAAUCCACAAAAGUUAUGCUUAAUAGAAUAUGAAAAUACGCUCAUCGAUUAUGAGGAUGUUGAUUUAUACUUCAGAUUUAACAGUUAAGAAGACUCCAAAUAGCCAGAUUAAGGGCAAGUGUUUUGCAUUCUAACCUAUGGUAAAGCUAAGGAUUCAGAAAAAGAUGAUGUUAUUUAAAAAACUCUUUGGAUCUGAGAUAUGUUCAUUCUCUGCAUUGUCCUAUAAAUGAACAAUUUCACAGAAAACGAAUGGAUUUUUUUAACAUAUGGGAAGGAAAAGCUUUGAGGAUUGGGAAAAGAACACUCUCCUGUUUUGCUCUAUGACAGUUUCCACUGCAAACAUCUUUUCUUCUCAACAAGACUGUAAAAUCCACAAAGCCAGAGGAAACCUUUGGAUUACCCUUACAUAUCCUUGUUAUAGUGCCAGCUAUGUGUUUGAUACUGUUUAAUAAUGUAUUGGUAGAACAAGCAUUGAUAUUUAAGCACUGGUUGCUCAAUAUUUCACACAAUAUCUUCAAGACAGAGGACAAAUACUGUGUUUAUCUAAAGAAUGAAUGGUAGGUAAUCCUUAGAACAGGGCAUAUGAGCCAUGGCACAUAGGAAACCCCAAUGACGGACACACAUGUACACUUGUGUGACUCUGAUAUGGUCAGGCUCUUACCCAAGAGGACAGCAGAAUUCCCUCUGAAUGCCAUGAUAUGCAUCCUGAUAGCUCCCUGGCUAGAGUUAGGACUAAUGCAUGGCAAAAUUUAAGUCCUGGGCAUUCUGUUUGCUUAAGGAAUCAGAAAGCCUGCUGAAAGUCAGUGUCAUUGUCAAAGACAAGGCAGUGCAUGCGGCAGUGCUGAAAUGGAAGGCCUUGCUUGAAGACCUGGUUCACUUACCAGUUACUUGCUCAGGUAACUGGUAAGAGGUGUUCGAUGGCAUGAGCACCUUGGCAAACUCCAAAACCUUUUUCUUGUAAUCAUAGGCUUACUAGAACGUUGACAAGUGAUUCUAACUUUGGAAAAUAGCUCUUUGUCAUUACUUAGUAAUGAAAUAACUCUUGAGGAAUAGAAUUCAAAACCACAACAAAGUAAAGGAACAGAUUCAAGAAAUGAUUAUACACUCAAACAUAGUCUAAAGCAAUGAGGGCAAGAGUUUUAGGACAAUUAAAGAUAAUUGGUUACUCAUCAAUAUUUGAAAAAUGUGUUAUGCCUGCUAAAAAGAAAUCUAAUUUUCUCAUGGAUGGACCACUGUAAUGUGAAAGGAACUGUCCCUAGAAUGGUAGAGGUAGCAAUCAGCAGUUUCUCAGACAGAGUCCAAAAGAGAAUUGUUUUUCCACCAUAAGACUUAAAAUAGUGCAUAGGAGAAGAUGGAGCUAAAAUGUAGAAAGUAAUUAUUUUACUUAUUUUUUUACCCCUGUCCUACAUUUACUGUCUAAAAAGAGAUCUUUUCCCCCAAGCCACUCACACAAAUACUUCACAGAUGGGCACGGCUGUCUUGGGAGCGCCUCACGUAAACAGCAGCCCUUCCUCCCUGUGGUGUCCCCACGACGUAUGCAUGACGUGGGUCACAAUGCACCUUCUCUUUUAGAAGAGUCAAAUGCUCUGGGUCUAAGGUAGAUGCUGGCAGUUUUGUAAAUGUCUCCUACUAAUGAAAGGCCUAGCAGAAGGUGAUGGUACCCCCUAAGCCAGAGAGAAAAUGAUGAGUUCUGGUAGGUUUUCCAAGCCAGCACCCUCUAUACUGAACUGUUCAGAGAACAGGACAGUAGAGACAAAUAAUUCAGACGAUCCUUUAAAUGCAUAAAAGUAUAGUAAGUAUUCCUCUCUUCUUGUUAAACAGACAAAGUAAGACAAACAAAUGCUUUAACUGUUAAACAACAUUAACAACAAAAUCCCAACACUGUCUUCACAUUGUCCUUAUUGAUGCCAGCAGUAUUUUCUGUUAGUGUCUAUAACACCAACUCAAGAGUCUUACAUUUUAAAAAGCUUCAUAAAUUGUUUUAUAUAAGGUUUUCAUCAAUCAAGAGGUACUGUUUUUAUACUUCAAUAUUGUGUAUGCAGUUUUCUUACAAUGUGACUUCAUUGUCAAGAAUCAAAACCAUUGCAUUAUAUUUUUUUGACAAUUUGCUUUUUUGUUCUUCCAUUGAAAAUAGGCAUAUAAAAUCUCCAUGGAAGCCAUAAAGAUGUCCCUCUUUGGUUUAUCUCCUUUCUGGACGGCAUGCCUUUGUGCAUACAGUUGGGGGUGGAGUGUGGAUGGUGCAAAAAGGCAUGACUAUCUUUUAUCAGACAAAGAAUGUAAAGAAAUCCAGGCAUCAUCCUAGUACAAAAGCUUGACCUCUCUGGCCUUUGGGGCCUGAGGCCUAGACAAUCAUCCCAGCCUGGAUCUUUCCUGAGAAUUGCUGCGGGGAAGAUCUGAGAAAGGAUAGACAUUGAAUCUUUCAGAAGCAAAAAGGCUGAGGUCCCAAGGAUCUUACAGGUUCUAGCUGGACAAAGAACAAGGUUGUAAGCUGAUUCUCAAGGUAAGUGUAUAAAGGAAAAAAGUCAGCCACACAGAUCUUAAUUCUUUAAAAUUUAAAAGGUAAUUUUGUGUCUUUCAGUCAAUUUCCUGCACAGGAAGGAAGAAUUUAUUAACUGCCUUCUGGUAUUAAAUGGAGUGCUAAUGGGUAAGUACAACAGUUCAACAGGUGCCAAGUAGAUAUAUAGAGGCAUUAUAUCAAUAUUAAUCGUAAUGCCUUGCAAAUGCAUUUGUAGAAUGAGAGCUUUUUUCUCCCCAAUUGAGUUUAUUUGGGAAACGGUCUCGCGUUAAAUAAUAAAAUAAUGGCUGCUAUGUCUUAUUCUGGAAAAUAAUGCUAGAUGGUCUUGUUUGUGAUUUCAUCCUAUGGAAACAUUGUUGCAAAGUUCCGAGUAACGGAAUAGACAAGAACAGAUGUUGUCUUUUAAAAAAUAAUGAUGAAGAGAGCAGUUGAGGGUUUGAAUAAGACUUCAGGAGCAAUUCCCUGAUUCAGUGCCCAGUAUUACGACCGUAAGCCAUGAACACUGACAUAAAAUGCACUCACUUGUGCUGUAAUAUCUGUGAGGCAAAGGCUUCUGUAAAGCCAGGAGAUGAAUGCUCAGUUUUACAUACUAUGUUCUAUUUUUGUUCUUCAUAUUUUCCCCCGAAGUUCAGCCCAAUUCAGUUGUCAAUAGGAACAAAACACAGAAUGCUGCACAUUUUCUCUAAGUUUAUAAACAAAUGAAGACCAAUAAUUAGUGCCACUCUCAACAAACCUGUUGAGGUUUACUUGCUUUCCUAUCUGGUUCGGGUAACUUCUGGAAUGAAUUGUAUUUAAAACCACGGAGCAUGGCCAUUUAUUCUAUCUACAGGAAGGGUUUUUCACCAAUACUGCUCUGCUACGUCCCUCUCCCGGUGAAUUUUCUCUGUAAGCCACUCAAACUUCUUCUUCCGAAUGGAAAAGGAGAUGAUCUCAGAUGGAAAUCACCAGAGCCUUGAAUGAUCCUGUUUUUGUCAAGAUUUAUGGGCAAGGGGUGGGGGCAAAGGAAAAACAUUGCCUUUUUUUCCUGUUGCUCCCCAUGUCUUUGAACAUGAACAUUUGCCUCAACUUCCAUCUGAACAGCUGACCAUAUUUCUCUGUAAGGAACAAGUGAGGGUAGAGAGCACUUGCAAUGCAAACUGCAUUACUGAGUGAAACCGAGUCUCAGACAUGAGGACCGGAAGAACCAAGUCAUCCUGAAAUUUUACGACUAAAAAUGGUGAAUUCUGAUUACAGCAGAUUGACUACAGACAGUGAUAAGGUACUGCAUUUUUUCUUUAAAAGAAUAAAAAAUAGAGCAGUUUGUAAGUUUUCACCAUAAAGAAAAUGAUAAAUGAAAAUGAUAAAUGUCCUAGGAGGGAAGUAUACAUGUAUCAGAAUGUCUCAUGGUUGGGGCCAGUGCCGUGGCUCACUUGGCUAAUCCUCCGCCUGCAGCGCCAGCAUCCCAUAUGGGCACCUGGUUCUAGUCCUGGUUGCUUCUCUUCUCAUCCAGCUCUCUGCUGUGACCUUGGAGGGCAGUAGAGGAUGGCCCAAGUGUUUGGGCCCCUGCACCCGCGUGGGAGAGCGGGAAGAAGCACCUGGCUCCUGGUUUCAGAUCGGCACAGCGCCAUCUGUAGUGGCCAUUUGGGGAGUGAACCAACGGAAGGAAGACCUUUCUGUCUCUCUCUCUCUCACUGUCUAAAACUCUACCUGUCAAAUAAAAUAAAAAAAAAAAAGAAUGUCUCAUGGUAACUCAUACCUAUGUACAACAUUUGUAUUCAGCUAAAUUUUCUGGGAAAGGUAUAUUAAAUGAAACAGAAUCCCCAAAGUAAGGAAAUAAAGG